AGUGGUUGGAAAGGGGUGUGGUACUUGGGUGGAGGAGGGGGGGCAGUUAGCAAAUAUUUUGUUCAGCUUAGCUUUCCUUGCAGCUUACUUGGAUGAUUCACCUAUUCUACAGGAAAACAUUCUAAUUCUUUCCGUUUUUUCUUUUUUUUUUCCCCCUCCUCUUUUCCCUUUUAAGAUCAACCACUUCAGAAGAACCAGAUUCCACUUCGGUGGCCAAGACUUUUAUGUUAUGGCUGGUCCGAUUGUUUUACCCUGCGUUCUAUGCUUCUAAACCUUGGAUCAUUUCUAAAGUACAAAUUCGGUUCUCGAACCACAAAUGAGGCUAAAAGAUGGGAGGAAAUUCUGUGAAUAUACAGGAUUGGGAUGGUGUACUAUCAAAAGUAUUGAGCUUUAUAAUGCAAUUAUUUGAGAAAUAGAAUCCUUUUUUUUUUUCUUAUGAUAUUGCCAGCAUUUUAAAUUACGUGUUUAUUAAGUGGCAUUGCUCAAAUAGCUACAGAGUUUGCGUGGAAAUAUUUGCUGUCCGAAUAGUUUGGAGAUUUAAAGAGAAAUCUCAAGCUUCAGAGGUAUUAAACUGUGACAUGCAAAAAAGUUUUUGUAUUUUAUUCUUAACUGCAAAGGUAUAUGUUUAAAUCAGAGUUAAAGUGUUAUAUAUCCCGGGCCCACUUAACAGUUGUGCUGUAUAGAAGUGUAAUGGGAAGCAAAAUUUCAAUUAGGUUCCCAUUAACUGGCAUAUAAUCCUUCUUUAAUGUAAUAGAGGCUAUGAUGUUGCUGUACAAAUGUGCUAGAAACAGAUUUUAACCCAUUUUCAGUCUCUUUCUUUGGAGCUAAUGGAGUGACUCUUAACUGUUCAUUGUUUGCAUUGUUUCUCAUAUUCUUCAUUAUUUUAAGGUCUGGAAUUAGUCUUUAAAUGGAUAUCAUGAUUAUUCAGUUCAUCCUAAUUUUUUAUAUAUCCUAUAUAUUUCUACUGAUGUAUUUUGAUAAGUAUUUAGAGGAAAAAGUUUCACUGAACCCAACUGUAAUUUCUAAGCUAUCCUUAUUACUGGAAGAAGAAUUCUCCUGCCUCAAACCAGACUUUUCCUAGUCCCUGAGACCCUAACUUGUGAGGUAUUUUAGUAACAUCACAAGUCAGGCUCUUGGGACCUAGGCGGAGGGGAACCAGCAGCUUUGGACCUUAUUGAUUGUCUGCAGUUACCAUCAGAACAAAAGAACAUACCUAGAUUCUGCCCAGGAGUAAAAAAGGGUGCUUUCCUUUAUAAGCAACAAUGUUUUCACCAUGACCCACUCCCAAAAAUACUGCUGUCAGAAACUGUACUCUCUAAAGUGAUUGCAUAGUUGUACUGAAAUAGCAUUUGUAUUGUAGCUUAACAGUCAUACAAAAGCAAUACAACCUAUCUGUAUAAGAAGCAAAAUUAAAACCUGAGUGUUUUAAAAAUAUUCCUUUUGUAUUUUAAGUGACUAGUAUAAGACGAUAUCUCCUUAGUUAAUAAUGAAUAGUUGUUUAUAUUUAUAACUUUUUUCAUCUGCAUAGAAAUAUGUAUGUUAGGUACUUAAAUAAAUCCUAUAUGUUUCCAUGUAACUGUGGCUCAGGAUAUGUAAUAUAUAGCUAUAAUCAUGCUUGAGGCCUAGAAAGAAAAUGAUUUACAGCCUUCUUUACUGUUUUAUAAUUGGUAUUUAUUACCAUAGUUUCCUUAGUCUUUUAACCAAACAGAACGCUUUAUGUAUCUUAACGAUUUACCUGUUGUGAUAGUCCAAGAGAGUUAUCAUCAGUAAUUUGGGGAAAUAUAAUACAUUUUAGUGUUUACAUUUUACUCAGUAUAUAUUAUAGACCUUUGUGAGAUAAAACAAUAAACAAACAAAAAAAAAACAGUAAACACCACCUAUGAAAUCAAACUGCUCUUAGUUCAUCUGUCAACUGACUCUUAACUGCUUAGUUUUCAUUCUAUACGAAUUUUAGUUUUAUAAGAAAUAGCUAUUCCAAGUUUAAUGUGUCAUAUUUGAACAUUAUUAGACACUGCCACAUCAAAUAUGUAUUUUUUGUGAUAGAAUCAAUAUGUUCAAUCCAUCUAAAAAUUUUACAGUAAUGUUCCAAAUAUCGAGAUUCAAAAUGGAGAUAAGAGCCUUUCCAUAACAGAAGAAGCAGAGUGACUUCAUUCUUUUACCUAUUGCAUUAUGUGGGUACCCUAGAUUAUAUGUGUCUUUUCCGUUGUUCAAAUAAAUUUAUGAAUAUUAUAGAAUACGAUAUGAAGUCCUAAGUCCCCAUUUUGUUGAAUUUAAUACAAUCACGUAUGUUUUAACUAUCACAGAAUUUAAUACAAAUCACCCACGAGUUACAGUUCCUAAAAGAAUUGAGAUAAUAAUAUCAUAAACAUAUUCCUCAUCUAUACAAGGCACAUAUAUACAAGGCAGUGGGUUUUAUACAAGGCACGUAGAAUAUGUUUAGGCAUGCUAUUUACACUGUACUUAUUUUCAUUAUUUAUGUCACCUACUUCAUUCAUCUAGAAUCUCUGAAACUGAGUGUGGGUAUGUAUGUGUAUAUAAACAUGUUUAAAACUCCGAAUGAAAGGAAGUAAUAUAAACAGUAAGGAUCUUGAGUAGUAUUAAUUUUUACUUCUUUUAACCUCCUUCUUAUGAUAAUUAAAGAUUUUUCAAAGUUAAGUUUCUCAAUACAGAGACCUCUCUGUGUAUCUGUAUGCACACAGAAACUCGAUUAUAUUUAAUAACAAAGUUUACACCUGGUUCAGAAACUACCUCUUGUAUAAAACAAUAUCACAUACAGGUAUAUGUUUACAGACACCUGUUUUAACAGAAUCAUAAAGAAUAUACAUAAGAUCUUCUAUUUAAUUUCAAAAUAAUAUAAGGGAUAUAUGUUUAUUGGUUACAGUAAUAUCCAGUACAAUAUAUUCCAAAUGCAAGAUUUUCUUUUUAUGCUCUCAUGUUCAUGAACUACACUAUAUAUUAACUUCUACUUCGUAACAAAAAUACGGAAGCUGAAUAUAGAAUGCAGUUAUGUUUGUGUAUUUCCCCAUAAACAUAUAUAAAAUAUACGUCAAGUACCUAUUUUUUACACUCUUUGAACCGUCUCUAUGUCACCAUCCUGGAUACGAUCUGUUUUGUUUUUGUUUUUGUUUUUUGUGAAAGCAUCAACAAUAGACCUUUUCUUUUACUGCGUAAAGGUGUGUAGACAUACAAGUGGGUGAGUUCGUUUCUAUAAACUACUUUAUGCUAUAUAUGUACAGACAGAUGUCAUUUUUUCUGCAUUUCUCUUAACUAUCACAGGAUAAUAUUGUUUAGGGGUGAUAUAAUAUGAUUUGGAAGAUCAUAUCAUGUUAAGCUUAAAGCAAAAGGAGCUAUCUACAACAAAGAGGGAGAAAAUGAUGUGUGUUGCAUACAAAAAAAGCAGUGAUAUUAACAAUUCCAUGGCUUCCUGGUUGGGAGACCAGCCUGAGCCAGACGCAUAUAUUAAGGGCUGUCUGCUGCCGAUGUGAGCUUGCUCAAUGCGGUGGAAAUGAGGAAUCACCUCAUCUCUGACACCAGCUUAUUUGUACAUUUUAAUUUUGAAAUAGGAAAUCACUGUUUUACAUAAAUUUAUUAACCCCUGCUUGAUUCUUUUUCUCUCUCAUAUUGUUUGCUGAUGUACUGUCAACUUCAAGUUCUUUUUUUUUUUAAUACCAUCACUCAACUUAAACAUCUAUCGGAGACCAGUGAAGUAGUAGUUUCUCUCUUGUCUCCUUUGUAUUGCUGUGUUAAUAUUGUGAUUCUUGUGCUUUUAACUUUUCAUCUCUGUAAGGAAAACAGCAAUUCUUCCAAAUGGCAUUUUUUUUUUUUUUUAAAGCCUUUUAGAAUCCACCAAGACAGCCACUUCUGGAUUUUUGCCAAAUCUAAAUAUGAUUAUAUUUCAUUCCAGGGUUCAUGGGAUCAAUAUCUUUCUCAGUAUAAAAGUCCUUAACACUUUAGUAUUCCACUGAAGCUAUGGAAGAGGUAUGGAAAUAUUCUUAAAUCAUUAAGGCUACAGUAAUAAUGUCUAGAACAAGAUAAGUAUCUCGGGAAUACCAUUAGAAGUUAAUUACUAAUGAAAUUAGAUAUGUAAUAUAUCUACCUUAAACGCCUCUACAAAGGGGCAUGCUGGUACAUGUGCCUAGGCUUGGUCUAUUUCACCUGGUAAAUAUGAAAAUAGUUUCACAAGCUGUCGUGUUUGGCUGAGUAUUGAGAAGAGCAGUACAUAAAGGGUUAGCUAAUGCCCAAAUUUCCUUGCCAUUUACACACGCAGGGCGGCCUACGUUUCUGUGGGCUGCAAACGCAGGCAUCAUUUUGAUUGCUUGAAUUCUUUUGUUUAAUUUCUAACUAGACAUUUAACUUAGCGCUCGAAUCCCACUGAUCCCUUAGUGACUGCGUUUGGAAAAGGAAAACAAAGUUCCUAAUAUGGAGAAGUUUUUAAAAAUCCUGGGCAUUUGUAAAUAUUUGAAAAAUAUACUUUUUAGCAUACCUCUGUGAAUACAUAUUUAGUAUGCAGAAAGUUAGAUGCUGUUAUUAUCUAUGUGUUGUUUACUUUUCCUGUAUAUCAGUGGCCAGAAACACACUGAGGCAUUAAUAUUUUUUUUUCUCUGUGUGUCUUCAUUUUUAAGAAUUCGUAGUCAAAACCAUAUAAAAAUUGCCAUCUUCCUAAGAUCAUCCACAUCAUUUCUUCAAUAAGCUAGUGUCAAUUUUCAUUGAAUGUUGCCGUUUUCUACAUAUUAGGUGCAGCUUUACCAGCUGAAGCAUGUAUGAUCCCAGCCAGUCAUGCUAAGUUGUGGGUUAAGAAUUUACUUCUGGAAGUUUGAAAGCAGGUGAAACUUAAAAGGUAUGUAAGGAUUUGUGAGCACCAAGUGACCAUUCUGAGAAUCAUCUUUCCUUGGCUUUGAAUUAACUUUCCCUUGGCCAUGAGUCAACAUCAGUGUUUCAUACAUCCAAAUAGGAAGUCCACCAAAAUUGUGCAAGCUUUAGAUUCUGCAAAACUUGGGUCCAUGCCUGGUUUUAAAGAGACUCCUUGGAUAGUCAGUGGCAGGAAAAGAUCCACCAUACUUAAGCCCACAUUGAAGUCAUCAUCCCUGGAUUUUGCAUAAACGUAGAAGAAGCCUUGCUGGGGAAAAGAUCGGGAAAUCUGAUUUUAAAAAGUCAACAUCAGUAUCUUGUAACAUUAAAUUAAUAGCACAGAGACAGUUUUAACUCCCUUCAUGUAGCAUGCCGUAGAGCUGAGAGCUGAGCUGACUCAACCCCAUCCCAGCGUAAACCCACCUCAAUUUCAAGACCACGCUCACCUCCAGACAGUUCUGGUGAAGCCGAAAUAACAACUGGUUUUGGCCUAAAGCUCCUGAAAUUGGAGUACCUGCAGAGUUCAUGCAAGAAGAACUUGGAAUCUCUGAUGUUUCAGCCUAACUUUCUAAAUUUCAAGGACCUUUUUGCUUCCCUAAAACACAGGGUGUAAGUGAAAGAAGGAAACGAGAUAUGCAGAAAAUGGGAAUGUGGGGACAGAAAAACAGAGAGGAAAAGAAAAUAACUGAAUUACUUUUUGUGAAGGCAGUUUUGCUCCUUUAGGAGCUUUUUCAUUUUUUAAAUUUAGUAAUACGCAAAUCCUUUUUAAGUUUGUUAGUCUCCAAAGUUAUUAAUUAAAUUCUGCCAAGAAUUCUGCUUCUAGGAAACAAACAAGCAAAUCCAUAAAAUGUCAUUUUUCUUUCUAGAUUCGGAAAAAAGUUUAUACUUGUCUACCUUUAGAUAUUGAAAAAAAUCGAUCUUCAAACCUACUGUUUAAGCCUUUGUAGCUUUCUAACUUGGCUAGCUCACAGGAGUCGCCGGGAUGAGGAUUGAACUUUUUUUUUUUUUUGCAAAAUUAGGAGAAAUGCUUUGCCUGAGAUAAAAAUUCUAAAGACUGGGCUAAAGCUAAAUGGAACUUAGUGCCUUAUAGGCUCAAUGCAGACCAUAAUUGAGUUUUUAUUUGCCCUUUCAAGGAUUUAUGCAAAGCUUUAUUCCCUCAGCAGAGUACACACAAGUCGACAUUUUUCACAGCCUGACUUUUCAAUUAUGGAUCCUUUGGAAAGUUAAUGAUGACUGUAUUGUUAAUACUGCCAACAUUGUGUCAGUACGUUCAAGAUUCUGUGAUAUUAAAUAUGCUGAUGUAAAGAUAUAUGUCAUUUCUGCUCAGCCUUGUGCAAACAAUCCAGCUUAAGUGAUAGAAUUAUAGGCAAAUCCUCUCCAGAGAUAAAAGCAGAAUGGAAUUCUGUUGAGACCAGUUAAAAGCUUCUCUUGUUUCAAGUGGUUUGUUAAAGAAUCAAGGCCAAAAUUUUAGAAGUUAAUUGUAUGGAGUCUCUCACUCAAGACUUCUGGCUAAAGUUAUGAUAUUUUUACCUGACGGUUCUAACUUUGGGGGUGAGGAAAAUAUCAUUACACACCAUUUAGGCAAUCAUUUAUAGUUUCAAAAAAAUCCAUACAAAGUAAGUUUCUGAGUAAAAUGAUUGAUAAUAUUUAAGAUAUCAAGAGAAUGGCAAUAAUUUUUCAGACAGCAAGAUAGUUGUAAGGGUUGAGACCAAAUAUUUCCCAUCACGUAAUUAGUAUAACAAAGCUAGGAUCAUAUUCUUAAUGUUUACCCUUCACAGUAAACCCUCACGUAUUGGUUAAGAGCAUUGGCCAUUGUUCAAGUUUGAUGGAUCCCAGAUGUUUAAAUAUAGUGACAGUUCAUUGAUAAAAUGAGUUAUAGCAGACAAAGCAACAAACCAAGAGCACAUUCUUCUCAAAAGUAAAAUAAAUAAUAAAUGUGAUAUUUAAUCACAUAUUUAAGAUAUCACUGUUCCAGAUUGUUUUACAUUUUUUAUUACUUAGUUCCAAAUCUCUUGCCUAAUAUAUCCCUUUUAGACAAUAAAUUCUAAUAAUGACUUUAUUUCCCAUGUAUAAAAAUGUCUGUCCAAUAGUUUCAGAGAAUGAAACCUUAUUUGGCAUGAAAUUAAAGUGUAUGCUACACUUAAAAAAUACUUCAUUUGCUGAUAAUGACCAAAUGGAGCAAAGUAUUUGCUGCAGAAUAGAAAUUAACUGAUGAUAGCAAAU